CAGAUGGGAGCUUGCUCCCUGAUGUUAGCGGCGGACGGGUGAGUAACACGUGGGUAACCUGCCUGUAAGACUGGGAUAACUCCGGGAAACCGGGGCUAAUACCGGAUGCUUGUUUGAACCGCAUGGUUCAAACAUAAAAGGUGGCUUCGGCUACCACUUACAGAUGGACCCGCGGCGCAUUAGCUAGUUGGUGAGGUAACGGCUCACCAAGGCAACGAUGCGUAGCCGACCUGAGAGGGUGAUCGGCCACACUGGGACUGAGACACGGCCCAGACUCCUACGGGAGGCAGCAGUAGGGAAUCUUCCGCAAUGGACGAAAGUCUGACGGAGCAACGCCGCGUGAGUGAUGAAGGUUUUCGGAUCGUAAAGCUCUGUUGUUAGGGAAGAACAAGUACCGUUCGAAUAGGGCGGUACCUUGACGGUACCUAACCAGAAAGCCACGGCUAACUACGUGCCAGCAGCCGCGGUAAUACGUAGGUGGCAAGCGUUGUCCGGAAUUAUUGGGCGUAAAGGGCUCGCAGGCGGUUCCUUAAGUCUGAUGUGAAAGCCCCCGGCUCAACCGGGGAGGGUCAUUGGAAACUGGGGAACUUGAGUGCAGAAGAGGAGAGUGGAAUUCCACGUGUAGCGGUGAAAUGCGUAGAGAUGUGGAGGAACACCAGUGGCGAAGGCGACUCUCUGGUCUGUAACUGACGCUGAGGAGCGAAAGCGUGGGGAGCGAACAGGAUUAGAUACUCUGGUAGUCCACGCCGUAAACGAUGAGUGCUAAGUGUUAGGGGGUUUCCGCCCCUUAGUGCUGC
rnacentral:rRNA from 1 species